UUGUUAUUCUUAAUAGGAGUUCAGUGACACCAUUUUAAUGAUUUUUCUAUAUUAUUUGGUGCAAGUCUAUAUCUUCAAUCAAUAUAUUCAGAGGAAUUACCAUUUACAGUGAAUAUAAGCAGGAAUACAAUGUAGGCUAUAGGAUGACUAUUAUUAAAUAAAAACUGCAAUUUUUUAGAGUAAUAAUUAUGUUUUGUGUAUUACCAACAGCAAUCUUUAGUAAAUUGGUUGCAAAUCAACCUGAUGAGACUGUUGACUGAUACUUUUAUGAUUAUAUAUGAUGUAAGUGAAGUUUAAUCCAUUGUAAUGCCUUGUCAUGUCAGAAGCCACUAGAUUUUAAUUGUUAUUAAGCCUCAUAAAUCAAUUUUUUUAAUUUUGAUUCUAUUGAAAAAUAUUUUACUAUGACAAAACAAGCAAGUGCUGGUAUGAAUCAAAAUUUUAUUUGAAUUAAUGUUUUGUUGUUCAAAUUGAAUAGUGUGCUGGCAAUGUAUUUGAAGAAAAAGGUAGGGGUGCACACACAGAAGUUUAACUUUUCAGACUAUACAAACAUACUAUGAAGUGGUAUGUACAAUCUUACAAAUUUUAGUUUAUUAUUGCAACAGUUUGUACCCAAACAAGACAGUUCCAUUGACUGUGGUGCUUAUCUGUGCAAAUUAUGCAUAUCUAAUAUGUUAUUGUUAAAAUUA